rnacentral:rRNA from 1 species
GGAAUAUUGGACAAUGGGCGAAAGCCUGAUCCAGCCAUGCCGCGUGUGUGAAGAAGGUCUUCGGAUUGUAAAGCACUUUAAGUUGGGAGGAAGGGCAGUUACCUAAUACGUGACUGUCUUGACGUUACCGACAGAAUAAGCACCGGCUAACUCUGUGCCAGCAGCCGCGGUAAUACAGAGGGUGCAAGCGUUAAUCGGAAUUACUGGGCGUAAAGCGCGCGUAGGUGGUUUGUUAAGUUGAAUGUGAAAUCCCCGGGCUCAACCUGGGAACUGCAUCCAAAACUGGCAAGCUAGAGUAUGGUAGAGGGUAGUGGAAUUUCCUGUGUAGCGGUGAAAUGCGUAGAUAUAGGAAGGAACACCAGUGGCGAAGGCGACUACCUGGACUGAUACUGACACUGAGGUGCGAAAGCGUGGGGAGCAAACAGGAUUAGAUACCCUUG